UCCUAUAAGCCACCUCAUGACGGAUUAUUUAAUUCGUAUUAUAAUAUUAUUCCAAGUUACGCUGUUGCUUAGAGCGGAUGGAAUAUAAAAAGAGUCGUCUACGUAGUAAGUAUAGAUUGUCAAUAAAAAUAAUAGUGUUUGCAAUAAUUGUAAUAAGUUUAGCUUUAAAAUAGUUCAGUGUAGUUAGUCAGUGCAGUUAAUCAGUGCAAUUGGCUACCUCUGUUUAUUGGCUACCUCUAUUUAAUCGGAUCGGAGUGCGAAGAAUAUCUUUAUCAAUUGAUAGAGGAUGGAUACGCAAACAUGGUUGCAAUUUUCGAGAGAACUGUUUGCGAUUUUAUAUAACUGCAGUCGAAGAAAUUUUCAAAAGAUUACCAGUAAGUGAUAUAUUUUUAUCAAAAUUACAAAUUCUUUUAUCACAUAUAGCUUUAUUGAGUACUAAUAGGGAAAUAUCAUUUCAUGAUCUUUUUUUAUUGCUGCAAGAAUGGAGGAUUUUGACGAAAACGAUUUAAAGAAAGAAUGGUUUGCCUUAAAUUCAGAUUUUUCAGUA